rnacentral:rRNA from 1 species
UUGACCUCGAAUCAGGUAGGAAUACCCGCUGAACUUAAGCAUAUCAUAAGCGGGGGGGAAA